AGUGAACGCUGGCGGUAGGCCUAACACAUGCAAGUCGAACGGCAGCACAGUAAGAGCUUGCUCUUACGGGUGGCGAGUGGCGGACGGGUGAGGAAUACAUCGGAAUCUACUUUUUCGUGGGGGAUGACGUAGGGAAACUUACGCUAAUACCGCAUACGACCUACGGGUGAAAGCAGGGGAUCUUCGGACCUUGCGCGAUUGAAUGAGCCGAUGUCGGAUUAGCUAGUUGGCGGGGUAAAGGCCCACCAAGGCGACGAUCCGUAGCUGGUCUGAGAGGAUGAUCAGCCACACUGGAACUGAGACACGGUCCAGACUCCUACGGGAGGCAGCAGUGGGGAAUAUUGGACAAUGGGCGCAAGCCUGAUCCAGCCAUACCGCGUGGGUGAAGAAGGCCUUCGGGUUGUAAAGCCCUUUUGUUGGGAAAGAAAAGCAGCAGGUUAAUACCCCGCUGUUCUGACGGUACCCAAAGAAUAAGCACCGGCUAACUUCGU
rnacentral:rRNA from 1 species